AUCCUCUUCUUCUUUUCCUGGGGCCGAGCCUGCAUUUUCGUGGAAGAAGGCACCUUGUCUUCGCCAUCAAUCCGGAUCCUCUGCAAUCAUCUUCGUCCCCUGCAGCUUCUUGCUCAGGAAGGGAUCCCAUCAUCAACCUUCCCAUCUUCAGUAGCCACCAUUCCAUGACCACAAAAACCCUCUCUUCUUCCUCUUCUUCUGACACGGCAAUUGGCUCCACUACGGGACCAAGCAGCAGCUCGACCCCUUCUUUUACCUGAUCCCUUCCCUUCUUUCCUCACGGCUGCAACGCCUCCUCAGACGUCACCAUCUGAUCCUCACCUUCCACUGCCUUUCCUCUCCUCCCAUGCAGCCACCUCUUUCAUCAUCUCUGCUUCACAGCUCCCUUUUUCAUCCUCUUGCUGAUCUCUCCCUCUCUUUCGGCUCUCCAGGACAGAAACUGACACGUACACACACGAAGCCCUUCCAAGACAGCUUUCCUUUCCUUUUCCUUGGAUCUCUCGGCCAGCAGCAAAGGGCUCCAGCUCCAGCUCCUCCUCCUUGCGUACUGCCACUUACUGGUGCUCCUCCAAAUUCUCUGGAGUGGUUGCACUGUCACCACCCUUCCUAUCCUCAUCUGCCCCCACCAAACACGGCCGUAGGGGUUCAUAGAGAUAUGGCCGAGGCCAACUGCUAUAGCUUGGAAGAUCAUUGCUGUCUAUGCUGCAUUUGAAGCUGUGCUGCAGCUCCUUCUGCCCGGGAAAACCGUCAAGGGCCCGAUAUCACCCACUGGAAAUCAACCUGUGUACAAGGCGAAUGGCUUAUGGCAUAGCAGCCUAUGCGGCUUGGAGUGAAGAGAAGAAAGUUAGAGAGACCAGAAGAUAGUAGGCCAAUGCCGGUGGGACUCGAAGACGACGUGGUGACUUACUUAGGCUUAAGUUGAGUCCCAAAUUAAAGGCUGUCUUGGUCUGCGGUAGUCAAGGAUCUUCCGAGUUAGCCCAUCCUGAGAACCUCUUGGGAUUAGGUAUAAAUCUCCACCUUAGUACCAUGAGAUAGAUCUUUAGAUGUUUGAUAAGUGGAUUUGAUGAGCUCGAUGUGAUUGCGUGCCCAUGAUUCAUGUAUUUUGAAGGGUUACUUGUCAUUUUAAUUAAAACUCCACAUGAAUCA